UACGGAGGGUGCGAGCGUUAAUCGGAAUUACUGGGCGUAAAGCGUGCGCAGGCGGUUUGUUAAGCGAGAUGUGAAAGCCCCGGGCUCAACCUGGGAACCGCAUUUCGAACUGGCAAACUAGAGUCUUGUAGGGGGGGGUAGAAUUCCAGGUGUAGCGGUGAAAUGCGUAGAGAUCUGGAGGAAUACCGGUGGCGAAGGCGGCCCCCUGGACAAAGACUGACGCUCAGGCACGAAAGCGUGGGGAGCAAACAGG
rnacentral:rRNA from 1 species